GAAGUACUCCCUCCGUCCGGAAAUACUUGUCAUCAAAAUAAAUAAAAGGGGAUGUAUCUAGAUGUAUUUUAGUUCUAGAUACAUCCCUUUUUGUCCAUUUUGAUGACAAGUAUUUUCGGACGGAGGGAGUACAUA
rnacentral:pre_miRNA from 1 species